rnacentral:rRNA from 1 species
AUGUUCAUCGCAGCGAUGAGAAACUUUACAGAUGUUUUUGGAAGACUAUUGGAAAACUCUUGGUCUUCUGAUGCAGGGAGUUUUCGACGCCAUGCUCUCCAUGCUGCAGCUAUCAAUGGGAAUCAAGAAAUCGCUGCAAGAAUUAUGUGUGUACGUCCUCACCUGGCAAAAGAAGCCGAUGUGAAUGAGGAUACCCCAAUAAGACUGGCUGUCUGUUAUAAUAAGGUUGGCGUGCUACAAGUACUUCUGAAGCAUGAUAUUUCAUUAGGGUAUGAAGUAAGCAACCAAGGUUUAACUCUCCUUGCUAGUGCUGCAACUCGAGGCAAUGUUGAUGUUGCGCGAGAGCUUCUUACCUAUUGUCCCGAUGCUCCUUAUCGCCACGUGCGCCAUAAGGAAUUGACAUGCCUUCAUACAGCUGUAUGUAACGGUCAUCCGGAGUUUGUUGAAUUUAUACUCAGGACACCACAACUCCGGAAACUCAUUAACAUGCGAGACAGCAGUGGAAGAACAGCUCUACACUAUGCAAUCGAGAAGUGCAAUCCAAAAACUGUUGCUGCUGUACUGGCUCACGAGGGUAUAGACACAACAAUACGUGACCUUAAUGGUAAAUCAGCAGCUUCCCAAUUGGCAUGCAACACCGACCAUGACAAGAGUUUAGACUGGAUGGAAGUGCACGCACUUAUGUUGCAAGCUAAUCCCCAAGAUGAUGACAUAUGUUCUUAUCUCUUCAUGAGGGAAUCGAGCAAAAUGAAACUAUUGAAUCGAAGGAUGAGACACAUACAAGUGCCACGGCUAACGUGA